AUGGAGUAUGACAAGCGAUACACGGAGUAUAUCCGGAAGAGCGGGCUUCUCCCUUUCAUCUCACUCGUGUCUUGCUCUAUGCCGAAGAUGAACCCUUGUGUGAUCAUGGCACUCAUUGAUCAAUGGCUCCCAGAGACACAUACUUUUCACUUCUAUGCUGGGGAGAUGACAGUCACUUUGCAGGAAGUGUCUCUGAUCACUGGACUUCCCAUCAAAGGACAUCCUAUUUGUUUUAGCACAGAUUCUGAUGGAUGGCAUGAGAUUAUGGAUGGACUCAUAGGGAGGGAGCCAGGGGUACAAGGGAAGUCCACUGGUGCAAGUUAUCAUUGGAUUACUGAACACUUUGGGGAAUGGCCGGCUGAUGCGGACGAUGAAACAGUGCAACAGUAUACCAGGGCAUACUUGUGGUAUGUAGUCACUUGGACUCUUUUCUUUAACAGACUGGUGUGA
rnacentral:rRNA from 1 species